rnacentral:rRNA from 1 species
UACGGGGGGGGCAAGCGUUGUUCGGAAUUACUGGGCGUAAAGGGCUCGUAGGCGGCCAACUAAGUCAGACGUGAAAUCCCUCGGCUUAACCGGGGAACUGCGUCUGAUACUGGAUGGCUUGAGUUUGGGAGAGGGAUGCGGAAUUCCAGGUGUAGCGGUGAAAUGCGUAGAUAUCUGGAGGAACACCGGUGGCGAAGGCGGCAUCCUGGACCAACACUGACGCUGAGUGAGAGAAAGCCAGGGGAGCAAACGGG